rnacentral:rRNA from 1 species
GUUUGAUCAUGGCUCAGGAUGAACGCUAGCUACAGGCUUAACACAUGCAAGUCGAGGGGCAUCAGUUUGGUUUGCUUGCAAACCAAAGCUGGCGACCGGCGCACGGGUGAGUAACACGUAUCCAACCUGCCUCAUACUCGGGGAUAGCCUUUCGAAAGAAAGAUUAAUAUCCGAUAGCAUAUAUUUCCCGCAUGGGUUUUAUAUUAAAGAAAUUCGGUAUGAGAUGGGGAUGCGUUCCAUUAGUUUGUUGGGGGGGUAACGGCCCACCAAGACUACGAUGGAUGGGGGUUCUGAGAGGAAGGUCCCCCACAUUGGAACUGAGACACGGUCCAAACUCCUACGGGAGGCAGCAGUGAGGAAUAUUGGUCAAUGGACGCGAGUCUGAACCAGCCAAGUAGCGUGAAGGAUGACUGCCCUAUGGGUUGUAAACUUCUUUUAUAUGGGAAUAAAGUUGUCCACGUGUGGAUUUUUGUAUGUACCAUAUGAAUAAGGAUCGGCUAACUCCGUGCCAGCAGCCGCGGUAAUACGGAGGAUCCGAGCGUUAUCCGGAUUUAUUGGGUUUAAAGGGAGCGUAGGCGGAUUGUUAAGUCAGUUGUGAAAGUUUGCGGCUCAACCGUAAAAUUGCAGUUGAUACUGGCAG